rnacentral:rRNA from 1 species
GGACCCGCACAAGUAGUGGAGCAUGUGGUUUAAUUCGAAGAUACGCGCAGAACCUUACCAACACUUGACAUGUUCGUCGCGACUUUAAGAGAUUAAAGUUUUCGGUUCGGCCGGACGAAACACAGGUGCUGCAUGGCUGUCGUCAGCUCGUGUCGUGAGAUGUUGGUUAAGUCCCGCAACGAGCGCAACCCUCACUUUUUAGUUGCCAUCAUUAAGUUGGGCACUCUGAAAGAACUGCCAGUGAUAAGCUGGAGGAAGGUGGGGAUGACGUCAAGUCCUCAUGGCCCUUACGUGUUGGGCUACACACGUGCUACAAUGGUAGGUACAGAGGGAAGCCACCCCGCGAGGGGGAAGCGGA